AGUGAACGCUGGCGGCAGGCCUAACACAUGCAAGUCGAGCGGCAGCGCGUCCGACCACCCUCGGGUGGUCGGAUGGCGGCGAGCGGCGGACGGGUGAGGAAUGCAUCGGAAUCUGCCUCGUUGUGGGGGAUAACGUAGGGAAACUUACGCUAAUACCGCAUACGACCUACGGGUGAAAGUGGGGGACCUUCGGGCCUCACGCGAUGAGAUGAGCCGAUGCCGGAUUAGCUAGUUGGCGGGGUAAAGGCCCACCAAGGCGACGAUCCGUAGCUGGUCUGAGAGGAUGAUCAGCCACACUGGAACUGAGACACGGUCCAGACUCCUACGGGAGGCAGCAGUGGGGGAAUAUUGGACAAUGGGGGCGAACCCUGAUCCAGCCAUGCCGCGUGUGUGAAGAAGGCC
rnacentral:rRNA from 1 species